CUUGCUAAUAAUAACUUCUAUAUAAAUGCAAGAAUUGUAGGAAAAAGCAUUUUGUUUAAUGUAUAAAUAAAACUUGGUGCCAUUUUCUUUGCCUUCGUCACUGGAAGCCUAUGGAUCAUGAAUGCAAAUUAAAAACAAUAAAGGUUGAAAGCGCACUGUAGGGCAUGUUCCAGAAGAACACAAGCCUUGCCCUUGGGAUGCCAUUUAGAGUAUUUUGUCAAACUGGGCAUUUGGAGCCUGUCCCAAGAGGAUGGAGAGACAGUCAUUCCAAACGUCUCUGCUGGGGACUGCUUUGACAGACUGCCGCCACCACUGUGGGAGAAGACUGACAGUGCUGCUGGGGCCUCCCCCAGCCCCUGGCUCUCCAACCAGCUCCUGGGCUUCCGGGGACCUGGCAAAAUGGGACACAUAGUGUCAUUGUGGCCUCCCCUCCUUGAGGUCCCGUUGGUGUGAGAUACCAAGACAGACCCCGGCAUUGGUCAUUGUUACUACAGGUCCCCAGCUGCAGCCAUUCAGGCUCACAGGCUGAGGGGGAAAAAAAGGAAGAACAAAACUUUUUGAUGGCUUGUCUGGUUCCUGAGAGAGCCUGAUGCCCACCUCUUCCCUGAAAGAAAGAUGCUGUUUCUAACACACAGACUGCGAGUCAAUGAGAAGGAAGACAGAGAAGUGGUGGGAGAGAGGAAGUCCAGCAAGUGUGCUCCUUCCCCCGCCGUCCUGUGGCGGAGAUGGAAGUACCAUUGAAACGCCCAAGGCCAAAAAAGAAAUAAGUGGAACCGUCUGCUCUUUUGUGUUAGCUGAAAAGCGGUCCGACCGCAUUCAAAUGGCUGCUGCCUUUGCCACCUAGAAAGAGAGACAAGAGACCCGCGCGUGUCACAGCAGUGACUUUCCUGGUUGUACCCCUCAGAUUCAGCACCAUAUUGGUUUCGAUAAGAAUCGUAGUUCUUUUCUCUCUCCUCCGAAAAACAGUAUGGUCAGAUGUUUUGAGGAGUGGGUAUAUUUUAUUUUAUUAAAUUUUCUCGUCUCUUCCUCUCGGAGAGGGACCGUGCGACGUGUUCGUUGUCCCCCACCCCCGCCCCGCCUCCGUGGUUCUGUAACAAGGCCCUUCCGACUCUUGGAAGAAAACAUCUCUGCGCAAAACCGUCCGUGAACAGUUCCUAAGGAAUGACUUAGC
rnacentral:lncRNA from 1 species